rnacentral:rRNA from 1 species
UACGAAGGGUGCAAGCGUUACUCGGAAUUACUGGGCGUAAAGCGUGCGUAGGUGGUGAGUUAAGUCUGUCGUGAAAGCCCCGGGCUCAACCUGGGAAUGGCGAUGGAUACUGGCUCGCUAGAGUGCGGUAGAGGAGAGUGGAAUUCCCGGUGUAGCAGUGAAAUGCGUGGAGAUCGGGAGGAACAUCAGUUGCGAAGGCGGCUCUCUGGACCAGCACUGACACUGAGGCACGAAAGCGUGGGGAGCAAACAGG